rnacentral:rRNA from 1 species
AACGAACGCUGGCGGCAUGCCUAACACAUGCAAGUCGAACGAGACCUUCGGGUCUAGUGGCGCACGGGUGCGUAACGCGUGGGAAUCUGCCCUUUGCUUCGGAAUAACAGUUAGAAAUGACUGCUAAUACCGGAUGAUGUCUUCGGACCAAAGAUUUAUCGGCAAAGGAUGAGCCCGCGUAGGAUUAGGUAGUUGGUGGGGUAAAGGCCUACCAAGGCGACGAUCCAUAGCUGGUCUGAGAGGAUGAUCAGCCACACUGGGACUGAGACACGGCCCAGACUCCUACGGGAGGCAGCAGUGGGGAAUAUUGGACAAUGGGCGAAAGACCUGAUCCAGCAAUGCCGCGUGAGUGAUGAAGGCCUUAGGGUUGUAAAGCUCUUUUACCCGAGAUGAUAAUGACAGUAUCGGGAGAAGUAAGCUCCGGCUAACU